AUGGCUUAUAUUUGGCCACAAUUUCAUUGUGGAUUUGUGGUUCACAUUAUUAUAGGGAUAAAAGUUUUUCCUAGUUCUUUUAGUCACUUGGAUGAGAAAUCGUUUGAAAUGAAUAGGCAUAGGUACAUGGACUAUUGUAUUUACUUGCUGAGGCACUGGUUCAAAACUACCUCUGCUUCAGAGUUUUUACAAAGAAAUGACAUGAAAUAUAGGAUCAAACUUAUAAAACAAAUAUAUUUCAGGUACUAG